rnacentral:miRNA from 1 species
UGCACUUUUUGGUAAGAAGAUGUUAACAAAAGUUGUUCGUCAUGAUGAGGGCUACAACUUUGCUUAAUAGCCUUUUAACAAAUUAUGCGUAUUUAAGGAGAUAGGGCUGCGCAUGCGCAGAACGUAUCUCCUUACCUUUGCACUUUUUGGUAAGAAGAUGUUAACAAAAGUUGUUCGUCAUGAUGAGGGCUACAACUUUGCUUAAUAUCCUUUUAACAAAUUAUGCG